rnacentral:piRNA from 1 species
UGCAUUGUGGAAUUUGCUGUCUGUAUCAC